GACGAACGCUGGCGGCGUGCCUAAUACAUGCAAGUAGAACGCAGUUGCGAACGGGUGAGUAACGCGUAGGUAACUUCCUGGUAGCGGGGGAUUACUAUUGGAAACGAUAGCUAAUACCGCAUACUACUAGAUGGACCUGCGUGGUAUUGGGUAGUUGGUGGGGUCACGGCUCACCAAGGCCACGAUACAUAGCCGACCUGAGAGGGUGAACGGCCAAACUGGGACUGAGACACGGCCCAGACUCCUACGGGAGGCAGCAGGAGGGAAUCUUCGGCAAUGGACGGAAGUCUGACCGAGCAACGCCGCGUGAGUGAAGAAGGUCUUCGGGUCGUAAAGCUCUGUUGUAAGAGAAGCGGUAUCUUAACAGAAAGGGACGGCUAACUACGUGCCAGCAGCCGCGGUAAUUC
rnacentral:rRNA from 1 species